rnacentral:rRNA from 1 species
UACGGAGGGAGCUAGCGUUAUUCGGAAUUACUGGGCGUAAAGCGCACGUAGGCGGCUUUGUAAGUUAGAGGUGAAAGCCUGGAGCUCAACUCCAGAAUUGCCUUUAAGACUGCAUCGCUUGAAUCCAGGAGAGGUGAGUGGAAUUCCGAGUGUAGAGGUGAAAUUCGUAGAUAUUCGCAGGAACACCAGUGGCGAAGGCGGCUCACUGGUCCGAUACUGAC